rnacentral:ncRNA from 1 species
GACACGCAUGACAGGUGUUCGACUCGGUUCUGUUCCUUCGAUCCGCUAUUAUGCAUGUGCAUGAUAGAGAAUUAAGGGACGGAAUCGGGUCGUUCUGAGAUUAUACUGUCAAAACUUGAUCUAGAUAAUACUAGCGAAAGGACAUGCGUGACUUUUGAU